rnacentral:rRNA from 1 species
GAUGAACGCUGGCGGCGUGCCUAACACAUGCAAGUCGAGCGAUCUUCUUCGGAAGAGAGCGGCGGACGGGUGAGUAACGCGUGGGUAACCUGCUUCAUACACAUGGAUAACAUACCGAAAGGUAUGCUAAUACAAGAUGAUAUAAGAGAUUCGCAUGGAUUUCUUAUCAAAGCUCCGGUGGUAUGAGAUGGACCCGCGUCUGAUUAGCUAGUUGGUAAGGUAACGGCUUACCAAGGCGACGAUCAGUAGCCGACCUGAGAGGGUGAUCGGCCACAUUGGAACUGAGACACGGUCCAAACUCCUACGGGAGGCAGCAGUGGGGAAUAUUGCACAAUGGGCGAAAGCCUGAUGCAGCAACGCCGCGUGAGCGAUGAAGGCCUUCGGGUCGUAAAGCUCUGUCCUCAAGGAAGAUAAUGACGGUACUUGAGGAGGAAGCCCCGGCUAACUACGUGCCAGCAGCCGCCGUAACAC